rnacentral:rRNA from 1 species
UACGUAGGUGGCAAGCGUUGUCCGGAUUUACUGGGCGUAAAGAGCGCGCAGGCGGUCGUUCAAGUCGGGUGUGAAAGCCCCCGGCUCAACUGGGGAGGGUCACGCGAUACUGAUCGACUCGAAGGCAGGAGAGGGUAGUGGAAUUCCCGGUGUAGUGGUGAAAUGCGUAGAUAUCGGGAGGAACACCAGUGGCGAAGGCGAGUACCUGGGCUGUUUCUUGACGCUGAGGCGCGAAAGCUAGGGGAGCAAACGGG